rnacentral:rRNA from 1 species
UACAGAGGCCCCAAGCGUUACUGAGAAUCACUGGGUUUAAAGGGUGCGUAGGUGGCGCGUUAAGUCCGUUGUGAAAUCCCUGGGCUCAACCCAGGAAUUGCUUCGGAUACUGGCGUGCUUGAGGCUAGUAGGGGUCACUGGAACUGACGGUGGAGCGGUGAAAUGCGUAGAUAUCGUCAGGAACGCCAAUGGUGAAGACAGGUGACUGGGCUAGUUCUGACACUGAGGCACGAAAGUGUGGGGAUCAAACAGG